CCUACGGGUGGCAGCAGUGAGGAAUAUUGGUCAAUGGACGAGAGUCUGAACCAGCCAAGUAGCGUGAAGGAUGACUGCCCUAUGGGUUGUAAACUUCUUUUAUAUGGGAAUAAAACGUUCCACGUGUGGGAUUUUGUAUGUACCAUAUGAAUAAGGAUCGGAUAACUCCGUGCCAGCAGCCGCGGUAAUACGGAGGAUCCGAGCGUUAUCCGGAUUUAUUGGGUUUAAAGGGAGCGUAGGUGGAUUGUUAAGUCAGUUGUGAAAGUUUGCGGCUCAACCGUAAAAUUGCAGUUGAAACUGGCAGUCUUGAGUACAGUAGAGGUGGGCGGAAUUCGUGGUGUAGCGGUGAAAUGCUUAGAUAUCACGAAGAACUCCGAUUGCGAAGGCAGUUCACUGGACUGCAACUGACACUGAGGCUCGAAAGUGUGGGUAUCAAACAGGAUUAGAUACCCCUGUAGUC
rnacentral:rRNA from 1 species